UAGGUCGGCUUCUAGUUCUCUUUCUCAAGAUUUGCUGGUAUUCUAUUUCUUCUUCUCCUUCUACUUGUUCUUGGUCUCCCGGGUGGAUAAUGGUCACGAUGUUGUGCUUCUGGUUAUCUUUUUCUCUUUCUUUGUUUAUGUGCCUUCUCUUUUGCUUUUCUUAUUCUUCUUUGUUUCCCAAAUUGGGAGAGCGGCGCUGCUUUUGGGUUCUUUACAUGGCGGCUGUGAUGAUUCUUGCACGUGGGUUUCGCUACAAUUGAGAGGAAAGCAGUUAUUCUCUUGACGGCAAGGCAAUCUUGCAGGCAACUGUUUGCAGCCAUUUUGAUUUAUUAGUUGUAGAUCAAUCGGUGAAUCUGAGCCCCCCUCCAUCUUCCCCUUCUCUGCUUUCAAAUUGCUGGGAUUUUUGUUUUCAAUAUUCCUUUUUACGGUUGUGUUUUCGAGAGAUUUUAAUGUAGAUUUAAGUGGAGAGUGUAGGAAAUGGGGAGAUCUUGGUCAAAGUCUCUCUCCCUCUCUCCCUUUUCUUCAGUAUAUCUUCAAAAGUUUUGAACUUGGUUCAGAUAUUUUAUUUUGUUAACUUUGCUUUAAGUUCUCUCUGGACUUGAAUGAUAGUGAGAUAAUAUUUUGAUCGGUGUUUGUUCAAUCUACAUUUGGUAUUCUUGGUUGUUGGUGGGACUCCGUCUAAUUUGGUUCUGGAGGUUAUGUUCUAUAUUGUUCUGGCAUGUGAAAUGAUCUCUGACGUUCUAAAUCCACGGGAAAUUCUAAACCAUUGAGCUUAAAAGGUUGCUAUAUAGGAUUUUUUCGGAUGCUUAUUUCGUUAAAUGCUAGGACUAGUUCUCUAGUUCUUCAUAGAAAGAGUUUGGAUUAUUUUAUUGCUUCUAUAUCUCUCGUCCUGCUUGGUUGUUGUACAUAAAUUUAUGCUGGUUGUUGUUUCGGUUGGCUGCCAUUGCUUGCUCUGUUUGAUGAUACGUAAUUGAUGGUCAUCAAAUUUUGAGCAAACUUUUUUUAGGGUCCGGUAGUCUUGGUGAUGCAAUUGGUUGUCCACCUGCUUUAAUAUGUUGUUGCAUGCACCACGUUUGUGGAAUGCCCGAACAUCUAUUUAAUGUUGGCAUUAUGUGGUUUUGUAUGCUGUUUUUUGCCGCUAUGACUGAGACACACAUAACUUUAGUAUUUUCAUGGUUGGAUUAUGGUAAUUUCUUUGCGUUUGUUACCUCUUGCUGUCAACUUUGAAUAAUAUGAUCAACCCUUUUUUGGUAGAUGCUGUCUGUAGGUCCCUGUUGGUCUAAACUGUGGAUGAAAUGGUCUGCUAGUUGAUUGCACUCCCCGUCAUUGUAUCCGUCUUUGAUAAAUAGUUAAUUUUCGGACUAACAAAUUUCUUUUUUUGGGCUAUGUUAAUUGGAUUUUGUUGUUUUAAUUCAAUGUUCGAUAAGCAUUAUUCAUUUGAUCUCACCUAAGUUCAAUCUUCUCGUGAUGCUGCAGGCCUUAAAGCAUUCACGUCAUAAGUUAUAUUAAUUGCAGUUGUGUUCAAAGUAUUUCUGUUCCCUUUUUUAUUUUUAUCAUAUCCACAACUGAGGUGACAUAUGUCACGCCCCGGACACGAUCCGUGACACGGCCGUGCUAUUGCCGACUACCGCCCACAAUAGCACGAAGCCUCAUACAUGGGUAACAGGGUAGUCAGACUAGUCAAACUGUCAUAUUUUUAAAAUAUUUGCAGUGUAUCAUAAAAGGUAGUACAGGUUAUUUCUUCUUCCAUCUCUGUGCCAGAGUCUUCCUCCCUCUAUUUUACUAUUGAAACUUGAAACAGAGGGAAGAAACAUUCCACAGAGGAACUUCCCCCCUUUUUAUUUUGUUUAAACCUAUUUUAGUAAAUCAGGUCAUACUUUGCUCCGGGUUGGCUGUCGCCGAGCAGUACACCCUUCAAGAAAUCCCUCCUUCCUCUCCUAGGGCUCUAGUGCCACCGGCACUCGCUCGAAACCCCUCCAUGGGACGGCUCCAGAGUGGUGUGCUAUGAAUGAGGCGACCCAGUCUGCUGCACUGUUCGCCUCACGAAAGACAUGCGUGGCUCGGAAGGAGUCCACCUCCCCCACUAGAUAGCAGAUAUCAUAGACAAGAGGGUGCAGAUCUGGCCGCGGCUCUUUAGCAGCGAUUGAGUGAGCAGCUCUGGAAGGUCUGCUGCUCCGCAGACAGCCGAGCAGCAACGAUCGUUCGAUGGGGGGAGGAGAAAAAGAGACACUGUGGGAUCUUUUCCCCAGGUCGGCUUCUAGUUCUCUUACUCAAGAUUUGUUGGUCUUCUCUUUCUUCUCCUUCAACUUGUUGGUCUCCCGGGUGGAUAAUGGCCGCGAUGGUGUGCUUCUUGUUAUCUUGUUCUCUUUGUUUGUUUAUGUUUCUUCUCUUUUGCUUUUCUUCUUCUUCUUUGUUUCGCAAACUGGGAGAGCGGCAUUGCUUUUGGGUUCCAUGCAAAGAGGCUGUGAUGAUUCUUGGAUGAGGGUUUUGCUACAUCUUGAGAGGAAAGCAACUAUUCUCUUGAUGGUGAGGCAAUCUUGGAUGGUCUGCUGCUGUUGUUCUGCAGGCAACCGUUUGCAGCCGUUUUGAUUUAUUAGUUGCAGAUCAAUUGGUGAAUCUGAGUCUCCUCCAUCUUCCCCUUCUUUGCUUUCCAGUUGCUGGGAUUAUUUUUUUCAAUAUUCCUUUUUAAGGGUUUCUUGAAUUUCUGAGAGAUUUAAAGUAGAUUUUGGUGGAGAGCGUAGGAAGUGGGGAGAUCUUGGUAAAAGUCUCUCUAUCCCUCUCUCCCUUUUCUUCAGUAUAUCUUCAAAAGUUUUGAACUUGGUUAAGAUAAUGCCUUUUGUCUAAGUUGCACAUGAUAAUGUACUUGCUUGAGUUUCUAUUGUCCGUCAGCCUUUGUAGUUUAGGUAAUUAUGGAUAGCCACUCUCUUUGCCAACUAUUCCUUUUAACCACAAAUUUUAUGUUGAUUAUACACUCUGCAUUCCGCUUUAUUCAUGGUAAAUCUACUUCAUCAGUUUUUGUGGCUCGGUCCUUCAAAACUGCAUCAUCCUAGAACUUUACCAAGCUCAUAAAAAUUGUUCAAGUUUAUUCUUGUCUCUGUUGUUGUCUUAAUUAUCUAUUUAUCUUCUGAGCUAUUGUUGGACCCCUAUGCUGCAGCAAAAGUCCGAACCUUUUGGGCAAUGAUGACAGCAUCCUUACUCAUUCCGGUGAUAGCCUUCAAAUAAACUAUUACAACUCAUGGUCAUCUCAUCUUAUAGGGGCUAGAUUCGUGAUUUUCUGUGGAAAUUAUCUUCGAUAAAUCCUAACCAUUGAUGUCUCUUUAGCAAGCAUAUCUGAUUGGUGGAACAGCAUGCUCAAGUCGAAAAACUGUUCGAUUGCAGUAUUUCUUGAAGUUUGUAAGUAUAUUUUGAUUUAUUUGCCAACAAUUUGUCAGAGUAUUACUUUUAUUGCUUAAGGCUGUGAUUUCUUGAAUCAGAUUAACUUUUUGGUCUGUUAUUGACGUUCAACAAGCAUCAAUAGUGUUGGACACCAAUUUUUAGACUAGUAUACUAGAUGAAAUUAUCCAUUUGUUGCUGACCUGUUCUGACCAGAUCUUGAUUUGAAAGCAUUGGUAGGUUGUGAGUUGAGAGGGCACCCUCUGAGUCAUAUUCGGAUUUGCAGUAAACCUUAUUUAUUUAUUGCAGUAGACCUGUUUAUCUAAUGCCGCAGAUUAUGUAAACUUUUCAUGUAAGACAUAAGGUUCAAAAUGGUACUUAUAAUGGUUCCAAGAAUUAGGAGCAUGGGCGGGCAUACAAUGUGAUGGAUAAUCGCCUUCUCAAAGAGCUGGUUCUUAUAUGUUGGUAAACAAGGCUCAGCCUUGCACCUCUCCUUUCUCCUAGCUUUCUACUUGAGAGAGGAGGUGAGCAUCUAUAGUGAUUUCUCAGUUACCGUUCAAGCAUUGUUCCUUCUCCUUUUCUUCUUCGCUUUUUUGUGUACGGAUUUAUUUUUGUAUGAAUAUUCAUGCAACAAGGGGUGACUUCUAAAAAUUGUUCUUCUCUUCUUUGCAUGCCAUCUUCUCUAGCAAUAGGCGAGACAUAUGUGGAAGGUCUGCUACAUUGCUGGCACCUGAUCUGCAUUCAUUGUAAGUUGGAGAGGUCAUCACCAUCGGAGAAGAGGUGCGGGGAUCUUCUCCUCUUUUUUGUGUGCAUGUAUAUUAAUGAGAUGAUGGGCAAGUUGUGAAAUUACUCUUCUUCUCUUCUUUGCGUGUUAGCUUCUCUAGCAGUAGGCGAGGAACUUCUGGAAGUGAAUUCAUAGGAUUUGGAGGCUCAUGAUAGUUUCAAGAUAAAGAUGGUAUCGAUAAAGAAUUCAUAUGAUUUGGAGGCUGAUGAUAGUUUCGAGAUAAAGAUGGUAUCAAUAAAGUGUUGGUCAGACUUAUUAUGGAUGGUCACAGGAGGAGUUAUCUGAUCGAGAUGAUUCUCAAGAAGCUUCGGUCUCGCAAAUGCUUGAUCAUGGUUCUAUAUCCUUUGGAAGAUUUGCAGCUGAGUCAUUGUCAUGGGAGAAAAGGUCAGUGUUUACUCACGACAGACGCCAGGAGGAACUGGACAAGUUUAGUGGCUUAGUUGCCAAAAAGAAAGCAUACUUUGAAGAAUACUACAGAAGGCUUCGAGCUUUAAAGGCCUUGGAACAGAACCAGCAAACUGAGCUCACAUUGGAUUAUGGUGGUGAUGGUAGUAAUUCUAGCCAAACUGGAGAAGAUGAUGAAACAGCUCUGCAGCAUGGAAGUCUUAGAGAUGGGGCAGCAGAAACUAUUGAUGCCCCUUCUACAGAAACUGAAAAUGAACUAAACUUCAAGCAGGAUACGAAGUGCAGUCAAGCUCUUCAAACUAGACCGCUGUAUCUAGGAUCCACAACAUCAAAUAUAGACUCGCUGAGAAGAAGCAUGGAAAAAAUUGAGCCAGAGAAAAACUUUAACCAUGCUGUGAUGCAAGACCUGGACAGAGAAUCCUUGUCGAAAGACAGCUUUCCACUCCCCAAGAUUGAUCAGCUCGUAGAUGUGACCUUUGGACAUCAAUUACCAACCUCCAUAGAUGCAAUCUCUAGGUACAACCAGAUCCAAAAGACAUCCGAAGACGAGUAGAAAACAACCUUUCUCACUGGCAGAGGCCUCUACUGCUACAAGGUAAUGCCCUUUGGCUUAAAGAAUACAAGGGCAACUUACCAACACCUCAUCAAUAAGAUCUUCAAGGAGCAAAUCGGCCGAAACAUGGAGGUGUAUAUGGAUAAUAUGUUCGUAAAAAGCUAAGUAAUGGGGCAGCACAUAGCCGACUUAGAGGAAACUUUUGCGACCCUCAAAAGGUACCAAAUAAAGCUCAAUCGGACGAAGUACGCCUUCGGAGUUGCGUUAAGAAAUUAUCUGGAUUCCGUAGUGACACAGCGAGGCAUUGAGGCAAAUCCAGAGAAGAUCUGAGCAGUGCAGGACAUACAACUCCCAAAGACCGUCAAAGAAAUUCGGCGCCUGGCUGGUCAGGUCGCCGCGCUGGCAAGAUUUGUCUCCAAAUCAGUGGAGUGCUGCCUUCCGUUCUUCAAGAUCCUAAAGCAUCCAAAGAACUUUCAAUGGAUCAAAGAGUGUCAAAAGGCCUUCGACCAACUAAAGAAGUACCUCAGCUCUAUCGCCUUUCCUCACCAAGCCAUAAGUUAGAGAAAUGCUUUACUUAUAAUUAGUCGUUUCUCCUUCUGCUGUGAGUGUGAUCUUGGUGCAGGAGGAAGAAGGAUGCUAGAAACUGAUCUACUACACAAGUAGUAUCCUACAAGAUGCCAAGACCAGAUAUUCUAAGUUGGAGAAGGCGGUUUAUGCUCUCAUCAUCAGCUCGGAAGCUCCGCCCAUAUUUCUAGACCCAUUCAGUCACAAUCUUGACCGACCAGCCAGUGAGGCAAAUUAUAAGAAAUCCCAAAAAUGCAGAUUAGUUGAUGAAGUGGGCAGUGAAGCUCGAAGAAUUCGACUUGGAGUACCAACCUGGGCCGUCCAUGAAGGCAAAGGGUUGGCAUACUUUCUGGUGGAAUGCACCAUCCCUAAUGAAGAUCCUGCCGAGCUCUCCAAAAUAAAGACCACAGAGUGGUUAUGGAUCCUGCACGUAGACGAGUCAUCAAACCUAGGGGGCAGUAGGGUUGGGCUCAUACUUACCAGCCCAGAUGGAGUAAUUAUAGAGUACGCUCUGCGAUUCAAGUUUUCAACCUUAAAUAAGAAGGCUAAAUAUGAAGUGCUCAUCACCAGGCUCAAGCUUUCCAAGGAGCAUGGGUCCAGCAGUUGAAGGUCUUCAAAGACUCACAAUUGAUCGUUGGCCAAGUUCGAAGAGAAUUCGAAGCUCGGUGGCCAUCGAUGAUCAUAUAUCUACAGAAAGUAAACGACAUCACUUUAGCCUUUCAUAGCUUUGAUAUACAUUAGAUUUCUCAUACGGAGAAUGCAAGGGUCGACCUGCUGUCAAAACUAGCCACCUCGAAGAUUGUCGACCCGACCAAAGCUACAUCUCUUGAAGUCCUGGAGAAGUCGAGCAUCGACGAGCCCGAGGUCAUGAUAAACACUAUUGUCGAGCCGAGCUAGAUUGAUCCCCUCUUCGACUUCUUGAAGGACGAAAAAUUGUCUACGAACUAGGGUGGAGCCUGCUGGAUGAAGCAACAAGCCUCCCACAAUGCUCGCCAUGAUGACAAGUUAUGUUGGAGAUCAUUUUCAUUGCCUCUCCUCAGAUGCCUUUGUCUGACUGAGGUAGAUUAUGCACUUCAGAAAGUGCAUGAGGGCAUCUGUGGAAAUCACUUGGGGGGAAUAUCCUCGGCCUAUAAGAUCUUACGACAAAGAUACUGUUGGCCCACCUUGCAAAAGGAUACUGCCGACAUCGUCAAGAGAUGCAACCAAUACCAAUGCUAGGCAAGCAUCCAAUAAUGACUAGCUGUGUCGCUGACACGAUUAGUGCCCUUUAGUUAUUUGCACAGUGGAGAAUCGACAUCCUUGGACCUUUUUCAAAGGCAAUCGGGCAGUGCCAGUUUUUCUCUGUGGCGGUGGACUACUUCACCAAAUAGGCAAAAGUCGAGCUAGUGGCUUGGAUUACCAAGGUGAAAGCUCAAAAUUUUGUUUGGAAGGCCAUAAUUUCUAUAUUCGGACUCCCUCGAGUGAUCAUCACCGAUAAUGGGCGUCAGUUUGACAAUGCCCAAUUCACAGAAUUUUACACUAAGCUCGGAAUCGACCACCGGUUUACUUCGGUGGCACACCUCCAAUCAAACAGAGAGGCCAAAAUAACCAACCGAACGAUUUUGUAGGGACUAAAGGCAAGACUGGACUGAGUAAAGGGCAUGUGAGUUGAAGAGCUCUACAGUGUUUUGUGGGCAUAUAGAACCACGUCUCGAGUCCCCACCAAAGAGACGCCCUUCAACCUUGCUUUUGGAACAAAGGCAGUAAUCCCAUUAGAGAUUAGACUUCCGUCACUUCGGGUGAAAAGCUUUGAUGACCAAACAAAUCUCGAUCAGCUCCGAGCCAACCUUGAUCUAUUGGAAGAAACUAGAGAGCAAAUUCAAAUCCGCCUGGCAACGUACCAGUGGAAAGCAGAUCGGUACUACAACUCAAAGGUCAAGAGUAAGAUCUUCUGACUUAGCGACCUCGUCUUAAGAAAGAUCGAAGUAUUUGACCAAGAGAGCCCGAAAAGCUAAACCCAAACUGGGAAGGCCCAUACUGAGUAGCCGAAUCAAUGCGACCUAGAAUAUAUAAGUUGGAGCACCUUGACGAUGCUCUGAUCCCAUGAACUUAGAAUUUCGACAAUCUUCAUAUUUAUCACCAAUAAGGUUCGUUUGUAUUUCAAGUUUAUUCCUAAUAAAAAUUUUCUCGUUAUGUCUCUAUCUUUUAGAUUGGACAAGUAUAACAAGCAUUUUGACUCAAGACACCCCACGAAUGCCUGGGCUCCGAACUAAGGAGACACCCCAAAUCCGUCUAGGACAUCCUCAAGCCGAGCUCAUUUGAAGUUCUUCUAGACUCAAACUCUAGAGAGAACAACUAAGGAGACACCCCGAAUCCAUCUGGGACCUCCUCAAGCCAAGCUCACUCAAAAUUCCUGCUAACAUAAAUUUCGAAGAGGUCAACUAAGGAGACACCCCAAGCCAACUUGGGACCUCCUUAAGCUAAGCUCACUUGAAAUUCCUUCGGAGACGAACUCCAAAGAGGUCAACUAAGAAGACACCCAAGGCCGACCGGGAACCUCCUAAAGCCAAGCUCACCUAGAGUUUAUCUAGAGACAAACUCAAGAAGGAUCAACCGAGGAGCCCAAGAUAGGCCAAAAACCCUUGCCAAUCCUGUGGUUGGAAUUGAAUAUAAGAAGAUGCGUCAAAGGAAGGUUCAAUGCUAUAACCCAAACACAAGCAAAAAGUAGACAACAUAAGCAAAAUCUGAAGUCAGGUAUUUUAGAAAAUUCUUUAUUUUUAUUACUUUUAAAUAUAUACAUUGACCUCGACAAAGGUCGAGCAAAAAUAAAUGUACAUCAACCUCGGUAAAAAUCGAGCCAAAAAUGAAGUACAAGCCCAGUCCAAAGCAAAAAAGGUAAAGAAGUGAAGGGCUUCAUUCUUUGCCUUCACCCUCACCAACAUCGCCGUCCUCGCCAUCUUUGCCGCCUCUGCCGGCCUCGCUACCUUCGCCGUCCUCAUCGCUUCUUUCAUCGAAGUUAGGUUGAAGGUCGAAAAAGUCCAUCUCCGGGAAGAGUUGCUGGUCCCGAGCUCAACAUUCCUCAAAGCCCUUUACAAAAGCAUCAGUCGCGUUCUCCUCGUAGUCAUCCUUAUACUAGUCUAAGGAGAGAUAUUCCUCAAUUGCCUUGGCGGCCCUCUACUUGGCUUGGAUGACGAGCUCCUUGGCCUCUGCGACUUACCCCUUAGCUCAGAUGACAAACUCCCAGACCUUGUUAGCCUUUUGUUCAGCCUAACCUAGCUUCGUAGAAAGCUCUGCGGCCUUUUGCUUGAUAGCUUUGAAGGCCUCUCUGGCUGCAGACAGUUGAGAUCUCAUUGCAUGAUUGAACUGAUUCAUUUUUUAUGAGCAAAUAUUAAACUCAUUCUUUCUGCAGCUGCAUAAUUUAUACUGUAGCCUUUGAGUGCGAUCACUUCUAACUUACCGUCCAUAAACCAUUAAGGUCUUUAUUGAGAGAGCUGCUAAGGUCUUUAUGGGCCUCUCCUGUGGUUACCUGAGCUGAGGCUAUAAAAAGGCUCUAAAUCUUCGAACUUGAGCACAGCAUAUCACACCUGAGACAAGCCUUGUACAACUACUUAUCAGAUAGAGAACUUCCAC